rnacentral:tRNA from 1 species
GCCGGCCUAGCUCAAUCUGGCAGAGCAACUGACUUGUAAUCAGUAGGUUGGGGGUUCGAGUCCCUCGGCCGGCACCA